rnacentral:rRNA from 1 species
UACGUAGGGUGCAAGCGUUGUCCGGAAUUAUUGGGCGUAAAGAGCUCGUAGGUGGUUUGUCGCGUUGUUCGUGAAAACUCACAGCUUAACUGUGGGCGUGCGGGCGAUACGGGCAGACUAGAGUACUGCAGGGGAGACUGGAAUUCCUGGUGUAGCGGUGGAAUGCGCAGAUAUCAGGAGGAACACCGAUGGCGAAGGCAGCUCGCUGGGACGGUACUGACGCCUGGAGGCGACCGAAAGCGUGGGGAGCGAACAGG